rnacentral:rRNA from 1 species
UACAGAGGUCUCGAACGUUGUUCGGAUUCAUUGGGCGUAAAGGGUGCGUAGGCGGCGUGGCAAGUCUGAUGUGAAAUCCCGGGGCUCAACCCCGGAACUGCAUUGGAUACUGCCAUGCUAGAGUACUGGAGAGGAGAUUGGAAUUUACGGUGUAGCAGUGAAAUGCGUAGAUAUCGUAAGGAAGACCAGUGGCGAAGGCGAAUCUCUGGACAGUUACUGACGCUGAGGCACGAAGGCCAGGGGAGCAAACGGG